rnacentral:snoRNA from 1 species
AUGAUGAUAUCCCAGCUGGCACCAGUCAUAGGGCGACUUGUACUCCCUCCAUUGAUGACAACCGCUGCG